rnacentral:rRNA from 1 species
AAGCUAACGCGUUAAGCAUCCCGCCUGGGGAGUACGGCCGCAAGGCUAAAACUCAAACGAAUUGACGGGGGCCCGCACAAGCAGCGGAGCGUGUGGUUUAAUUCGAUGCAACACGAAGAACCUUACCUGGGCUUGACAUGUAGGUAGUAGUGAAGUGAAAGCGGAACGACCCUUCGGGGAGCCUACACAGGUGCUGCAUGGCUGUCGUCAGCUCGUGCCGUGAGGUGUCGGGUUAAGUCCCGUAACGAGCGCAACCCUUGCCCCUAGUUAUAUGUGUCUAGGGGGACUGCCCGGGAUAACUGGGAGGAAGGUGGGGAUGACGUCAAGUCAGCAUGGCCUUUAUGUCCAGGGCUACACACACGCUACAAUGGCCGGUACAAUGGGUCGCCAAGCCGUGAGGCGGAGCCAAUCCUCUAAAGCCGGUCCAAGUUCGGAUUGUGGGCUGCAACUCGCCCACAUGAAGCUGGAGUUGCUAGUAACCGCAGGUCAGCAAUACUGCGGUGAAUACGUUCCCGGGCCUUGUACACACCGCCCGUCACGUCAUGGAAGCUGGCAACACCUGAAGCCGGUGAGCCAACCCGAAAGGGAGGCAGUCGUCGAAGGUGGGGCUGGUGACUGGGACGAAGUCGUAACAAGGUAGCCGUAGCGGAAGCUGCGGCUGGAUCACCUCCUUUCUAGGGAAUA